rnacentral:rRNA from 1 species
GGAUCCAGACUUUGAUUCUGGCUCAGGACGAACGCUGGCGGCGUGCUUAACACAUGCAAGUCGAACGAAGCUUGAUUACGGAAUUCUUCGGAAAGAAGUAUGAUAUGACUUAGUGGCGGACGGGUGAGUAACGCGUGAGUAACCUGCCUUUCAGAGGGGGAUAACGUUUGGAAACGAACGCUAAUACCGCAUGAAAUAUAUUUAAGGCAUCUUAGAUAUAUCAAAGAUUUAUCGCUGAGAGAUGGACUCGCGUCUGAUUAGAUAGUUGGUGAGGUAACGGCUCACCAAGUCGACGAUCAGUAGCCGGACUGAGAGGUUGAACGGCCACAUUGGGACUGAGACACGGCCCGGACUCCUACGGGAGGCAGCAGUGGGGAAUAUUGCACAAUGGGCGCAAGCCUGAUGCAGCAACGCCGCGUGAGGGAAGACGGUCUUCGGAUUGUAAACCUUUGUCUUUGGUGAAGAAGAAAGUGACGGUAGCCAAGGAGGAAGCCACGGCUAACUACGUGCCAGCAGCCGCGGUAAUACGUAGGUGGCAAGCGUUGUCCGGAAUUACUGGGUGCAAAGGGAGCGCA